AUACAGAGGGUGCGAGCGUUAAUCGGAAUUACUGGGCGUAAAGGGUGCGUAGGCGGCUUGAUAAGUCGGAUGUGAAAGCCCCGGGCUUAACCUGGGAAUUGCAUUCGAUACUGUCAGGCUAGAGUAUGUCAGAGGUUGGCGGAAUUCCUGGUGUAGCGGUGAAAUGCGUAGAUAUCAGGAGGAACACCAGUGGCGAAGGCGGCUAACUGGGACAAUACUGACGCUGAGGCACGAAAGCGUGGGGAGCAAACAGGAUUAGAAACCCCAGUAGUCC
rnacentral:rRNA from 1 species